rnacentral:rRNA from 1 species
AUUGAACGCUGGCGGCAUGCUUUACACAUGCAAGUCGAACGGCAGCACGGGUGCUUGCACCUGGUGGCGAGUGGCGGACGGGUGAGUAAUGCAUCGGAACGUAUCCUUAAGUGGGGGAUAACGCAUCGAAAGAUGUGCUAAUACCGCAUAAUCUCUGAGGAGAAAAGCAGGGGAUCUUAGGACCUUGUGCUUUUGGAGCGGCCGAUGUCUGAUUAGCUAGUUGGUAGGGUAAAGGCCUACCAAGGCUUCGAUCAGUAGUUGGUCUGAGAGGACGACCAGCCACACUGGGACUGAGACACGGCCCAGACUCCUACGGGAGGCAGCAGUGGGGAAUUUUGGACAAUGGGGGGAACCCUGAUCCAGCCAUGCCGCGUGAGUGAAGAAGGCCUUCGGGUUGUAAAGCUCUUUUACCAGGGACGAUAAUGACGGUACCGG